rnacentral:rRNA from 1 species
UAACACAGGAGAGCUUGCUCUCUGGGUGACGAGCGGCGGACGGGUGAGUAAUGUCUGGGAAACUGCCCGAUGGAGGGGGAUAACUACUGGAAACGGUAGCUAAUACCGCAUAACGUCUUCGGACCAAAGAGGGGGACCUUCGGGCCUCUUGCCAUCGGAUGUGCCCAGAUGGGAUUAGCUAGUAGGUGGGGUAAUGGCUCACCUAGGCGACGAUCCCUAGCUGGUCUGAGAGGAUGACCAGCCACACUGGAACUGAGACACGGUCCAGACUCCUACGGGAGGCAGCAGUGGGGAAUAUUGCACAAUGGGCGCAAGCCUGAUGCAGCCAUGCCGCGUGUAUGAAGAAGGCCUUCGGGUUGUAAAGUACUUUCAGCGAGGAGGAAGGCAUUAAGGUUAAUAACCUUAGUGAUUGACGUUACUCGCAGAAGAAGCACCGGCUAACUCCGUGCCAGCAGCCGCGGUAAUACGGAGGGUGCAAGCGUUAAUCGGAAUUACUGGGCGUAAAGCGCACGCAGGCGGUCUGUCAAGUCGGAUGUGAAAUCCCCGGGCUCAACCUGGGAACUGCAUUCGAAACUGGCAGGCUAGAGUCUUGUAGAGGGGGGUAGAAUUCCAGGUGUAGCGGUGAAAUGCGUAGAGAUCUGGAGGAAUACCGGUGGCGAAGGCGGCCCCCUGGACAAAGACUGACGCUCA